ensembl:lncRNA novel transcript
UUUUCUUUUUCUUUCUUUCUUUUUUUUUUUUUUUGACAGGAUGGGCUGGGGUUGGGGGAGGAGGAAGCAAGAAUUAAGCAGAGAAGGCAAGCUCCUUUCUGUUCAUCUAACUCAAAGCUCUAACGCAGUCUCCUGCUGACUGAAUCCUCUUCUCUGAGCCCGUUCAUUCACUGUCUCUGCCAGCUGUUUCCAAGUGUGAACCCAGUGGAGACCUUUUCAAACUGUAGCCAUGAAGCAGGUUGCAUGAGGCAGUUCCAUCUCCUGGCAACUGUCUCCAUA